UCAUCUCACAGAAGGAUUUAUUUUAAACACUCGACUGACGUUAUGAAGUGAGUUUGGAGUAAAAACAUGUUAUUAAAUGUGGUAUUCUCACGUGCUCUCAGAUGGAGCAGCAUUUACUACAUAGAGCCGUAGUUCACCGAGAACAUACACAAACAGCUGUCAUAAUAUCAUGAUCAUACAAUUAAAUUAAUCUGCGAUUAUGAACGCGAUUUUGAAUAGCUUGUCAGAGAACUAUGGCUCUGCGUAGUAAAUGCUGCUCCAUCUGAAAGCAGGUGAUGGAGAUUUACUGCUAAUCACAGAACCGGCUUUACUGACUAAAUGCGCAUGACAAUCUUGAUUAAUCGCGUGCGAUUAAUCGUCCAACCCUAGCUACUGUGAACCUUGGCCAUUUCAGAUGUUUUCACCCCAUCAUCAGUCGUUUAUGUGAGCUCCCUCCACCAUGUAAUCUACAGAGAAUGAGGUGGAAUGAAUCACUGAAUGAUUUUCCUGUCACCCAUUGGCCUCUGUUCUACCUGAGAGACGUGCAGCAUUCUAAUGCAUCUCUGCUGAGGUGGGAGUGUGUGUGUAUUUGUGUGAAUGUGAAUGAGUGGGAACCUUUAGAGGUCGUACCUGAGGGCCAGAUACUCAUGUUGCAGACGGGCUUGAAAAGCACUCAUUGAUUCCUCUGUCUAGAGUGAGGCAUUUAUGGAGCACAAAAGAAGAUAUUGCAGAAUGCCCAAAAGUAUUUGCUUUUAUAAUGAAAAGAAAAUAAUAAAAAAAAGAAAGAAAGAAAAUUGGUUUGUGGAGCUUACUGGUUAUCUCAGAGCUUGGUUCACCCAAUCUGUUUUUGUUAAAGUCAACAUGAAAUAAAAAAUUUGCACUUUCAUUUAUUUUAUUCUGAUGUGACCAUAUGAGUGAGGAAAAAUAGUUGGGAAUGGUUUGACCUAGAAAGAUUGGUGAAAUAGGGUUAGUGUUUUAUAUAUAAACAUUUAUAAGGAUUUGUAAAAAAUAAUUAUCU